rnacentral:rRNA from 1 species
UACAGAGGGUGCGAGCGUUAAUCGGAAUUACUGGGCGUAAAGGGCGCGUGGGCGGUCUUGUAAGUUGGAUGUGAAAUCCCUGGGCUUAACCUGGGAACUGCAUUCAAAACUGCUUGACUAGAGUUUGGUAGAGGGUAGUGGAAUUCCCGGUGUAGCGGUGAAAUGCGUAGAUAUCGGGAGGAACAUCAGUGGCGAAGGCGGCCACCUGGACAGUAACUGACGCUGAGGCGCGAAAGCGUGGGUAGCAAACAGG